rnacentral:tRNA from 1 species
GGGAUGUUAUACCGUAGGGAUAGCGGGACAGGUUGUAACCCUGUUGUCAUAACGACUCGGGUGGUUUGACUCCAUCACAUCUCAC